rnacentral:RNase_P_RNA from 1 species
UGAGCCGAUCGGAUGAUUGCUCCUUAGUAAGAUACUUACUUAGGGAGAGGAAAGUCCGGGCACCGCAGAAAAGGAUGCCCUAUAGCGUGGGGAGUUUCGCAUAAGCGGAAUAUGGAAAGUGCAACAGAAAGUAAACCGCCAUAUAUUUAUAUUGUGGUAAGGGUGAAAGGGUAGUGUAAGAGACUACUAGUACCCGAUGAGAGUCGGAAUGCUUGUAAACCCCAUCCGGUGUAAGACUGAAUAGGCUCCGAGAUGUGUUUCGCGUCGAUUGAGGAGCGGGUAAGUUGCUUGACCCAGAUGGAAACGUUUGGGCUAGAUAAAUGAUCAUCCCUUUAAUUCUGAAAUAUCAGUUUGAAGGACAGAACUCGGCUUAUAGGUCGGCUCAAUAA